UUCAAGAUGGAGGCGCCCUGUGGCACUGUGAGCGAUUUGGAAAGUAGUAACAGCAGUAGCGAUGCGGAGGAGCUGGAGCGGUGCCGCGAGGCGGCAAUGCCGGCCUGGGGGUUGGAGCGUCGCCCGCAUGUGGCAGUGAAGCCAAGAGCCGGUGCUGCAAAUAACCAGUUGUCAACCUCCCAACCGAGCCUCAGGCAUAAGGUUGAUGAGCAUGAACAAGAUGGCAAUGAGCUUCAGACCACCCCUGAAUUCCGAGCCCACGUAGCCAAGAAGCUGGGAGCCCUGCUGGACAGCUUCAUUACCAUCUCAGAAGCAGCAAAGGAGCCAACAAAAGCUAAGGUACAGAAAGUUGCUUCAGAGGAUGAUGGUGAGUGGUUAUACUUAAUAGAAGCUAUCAUUUAUUAAGCACCUAAUGUGUGUCUGGAGCUGGGCAAAACAGUUUUGGUAUAUUCUUUUUUUUAGAUAGGAACUCGCUCUGCCACCUAGGCUGGAGUGCAGUGGAGCGAUUACAGCUCGAUGCAGCCUCAACCUCCCGGACCCAAGCAGUCCUCCCACCUCAACUUCCUGAGUAGCUGGGACCACAGACACACACCACCACCCCUGGCUAAUUAUUUAUUUUCUUUAGAGACAGGAUCUCGCUAUGUUGCCCAGGCUGGUCUUGAACUCCUGGCCUCAAGCCAUCUGCCCACCUUAGCCUUCCAAAGUUCUGGGACUACAGGUGUGCACCACCACACCUGGCUAAUUUUUGUAU
rnacentral:sRNA from 1 species